GACGAACGCUGGCGGCGUGCUUAACACAUGCAAGUCGAACGGAAAGGCCCUGCUUUUGUGGGGUGCUCGAGUGGCGAACGGGUGUUUAACACGUGAGUAACCUGCCCUUGACUUUGGGAUAACUUCAGGAAACUGGGGCUAAUACCGGAUAGGAGCCCCUGCUGCAUGGUGGGGGUUGGAAAGUUUCGGCGGUUGGGGAUGGACUCGCGGCUUUUCAGCUUGUUGGUGGGGUAGUGGCUUACCAAGGCUUUGACGGGUAGCCGGCCUGAGAGGGUGACCGGCCACAUUGGGACUGAGAUACGGCCCAGACUCCUACGGGAGGCAGCAGUGGGGAAUAUUGCACAAUGGGCGGAAGCCUGAUGCAGCAACGCCGCGUGCGGGAUGACGGCCUUCGGGUUGUAAACCGCUUUCGCCUGUGACGAAGCGUGAGUGACGGUAAUGGGUAAAGAAGCACCGGCUAACUACGUG
rnacentral:rRNA from 1 species